UUCAUUCACUUCUCUAUCCAUGGCCACUCUCUCCUUCUCCCUUCUCCAUCCUCUCUCCUCUCCACCUCCUCCUCCUUCUUCAACUUCCUCAGCCAUUCAUCUUCUUCCUCAACUCUCUCUCGCCAAACCGGACGUCUCUGCUUUUCUCCGUUUUCACAAACCGAAUCGGAGGAAUCUGCUUUACCACAACUCCGACAGGUUCGUUCUCCAUCCAAUUUUCUUGCUCGCUGGCUUCGACAGGCCUUUGGAUACUCAAACCUUCCUUGUCACUAUCAGUGUCUUGGUCGCCAUUGCGCUCUCUCUCUUCCUCGGCCUCAAGGGAGAUCCUCUUCCUUGUGAGAGGUGUGGUGGAAAUGGUGGCACAAAAUGUGUAUUUUGUGAAAACGGUAAGAUGAUGCAGGAAACACGAAUGGUUGACUGUAAAGUAUGCAAGGGUGCAGGUCUGAUAUUCUGCAAGAAGUGUGGAGGUUCUGGAUAUUCCAGGCGUCUGUGAGCUCUACUCUGCUCUCAUCAAUGGUAUACAUGCUAGAUCUGGGGUUCACCUUCACCUGUUCCAUUCAUCUCAGCAGGGUAGCUGCAUCCAAGUCACCCUAGAUUAUGGAGUGAAUUAUUUAGCGAAUCGAUGGAGAAGGUUAAAGAGCAGGCGAAUGGAGUUUGCUCUCAGCAACCUUUCGUCUUCUCCUCCUGUCAUAUCCGCAAAUGCACAAAACUACACACCAUUAACCCCAUUAUAACAUAUUCCAAGCUCCACGUCAAUGGCCGACUCCACCUUAACUCUUCCCUUGUUCGUUUCCUCUCCAAUUUCUUCUCUUUUCUCCUUAUAUUACAGCCCCCAUGUUUUUGUCUCGCCGGAUCGUAUCCAUCACACAAAUUACAGACAUGUCUAACACCACAGGUGCUGCUCCUUUUUACGAAGUCGAUGAAUGCCGUGGAGUCCUCCGCGUUUACAGCGACGGCUCCGUUUGGCGGUCCACGAAACCAAGUUUCAAUAUUCCUGUUCAUGACGACGGCUCUGUUUUAUG